UACGUAGGGGGCAAGCGUUGUCCGGAAUCAUUGGGCGUAAAGAGCGUGUAGGCGCCAGAAAAGUCCGCUGUGAAAACUCGAGGCUCAACUUCGAGCUGUCGGUGGAAACUUUCUGGCUAGAGUCCGGAAGAGGAGAAUGGAAUUCCUGGUGUAGCGGUGAAAUGCGCAGAUAUCGGGAGGAACACCAAUGGCGAAGGCAGCUCGCUGGGACGGUACUGACGCUGAGACGCGAAAGCGUGGGGAGCGAACAGG
rnacentral:rRNA from 1 species